rnacentral:tRNA from 1 species
GCCGUAGUGGCGGAACUGGCAGACGCACAGGACUUAAAAUCCUGCGGUCGCAAGACCGUACCGGUUCGAUUCCGGUCUUCGGCA